GCAUUUAUGAGCAGAUGGUGGAUGCCUUGGGAUCGGAAGGCGAUGAAGGACGUGGCGUGCCUGCGAUAAGCUGCGGGGAGGUGGUUAGCAACCUUUGAUCCGCAGAUCUCCGAAUGGGAAAACCCAUCCGUCUUUAUGACGGAUAACUCACCUUUUUGGUGAGUAGCAAACCCGCUGAAGUGAAACAUCCCAGUAAGCGGAGGAAAAUAAAAAAACUUUUAUUCCCUUAGUAGCGGCGAGCGAAGAGGGAAAUAGCCCAAAUCAAGCAGAUAACUUGUUUAUCUGCUUGAGGUUGUAAGAAUAUAACGUCGGGAGCUCAGCACUCAAUUUGAGUGCUGGAUUCCUGAGGGAGAAAUUUAGACGAAGUUAAUUAGAAAAAGCACCCUGGAAAGGGGCGCCAUAGAAGGUAAUAGCCCUGUAUUCGAAAAUUACUUCGUGCUCCUUGUUAUUUAUCUUGAGUACCUCGGGAAACGAAAGUCCAGAGGGAAGCAGGCCGAACUAAUCGGCCAAGGCUAAAUACUAUCCGAUCACCAAUAGUGAACCAGUACCGUGAGGGAAAGGUGAAAAGUAGGGGGGUGACCCCGGUGAAAUAGAACCUGAAACCAUCGUGCUUACAAGGAGUCGGAGCCGAGUUUAACUCGGUGACGGCGUGCCUAUUGAAGAAUGAGCCAACGAGUUUUGUUUAAUUCUUUGUCUAAGCCCUUUUGGGGCGAAGGCGAAGUGAAAGCGAGCGUUAAUAGCGCGUAUUUUAGAGUUAGACAAAGACCCGAAGCCAAGCGAGCUUGCCAUGACUAGGGUGAAUUCCGCCGAAAGGCGGGAGGAGGCCCGAACCCGUGAGUCGUUCAAUUCUCUGGGAUAAGUUGUGGUAAGAAGUGAAAAGCUAAACGAGCUUGGUAAUAGCUGGUUCUCCCCGAAAUAGCUUUAGGGCUAGCCUUCGUCGAAUAUAUUUUCUGGAGGUAGAGCACUGGAAAGAAUAUCUUGGAUUUUUUCUAGGUAUUCUUACCAAACUCCGAAUACCAGAAAAUUUAGACGAGGAGUCAGAACUUGGGCUCUAAGGUCCGAGUUCAAAAGGGAAACAGCCCAGAUCUUCAUCUAAGGUCCCAAAAUUUGAGCUAAGUGUUUUUUAAGGAAGUAAUAUUCCUUUGAUAGCUAGGAGGUUAGCUUAGAAGCAGCUAUCCUUUAAAAAGUGCGUAAUAGCUUACUAGCUAAGGAAUUUUGCGCCGAAGAUUUACGGGACUAAAGCUCAAUACCGAAGAUAAGGCUGAACGUAUAAUUUAUUAUAUGUUCGGGGUAGGGGAGCAUUCUCAUGGCUGUGAAGUCUCACCGCAAGGUAGGGAUGGAGCAAUGAGAAGAGAAAAUGUUGGCAUGAGUAACCGCAAUUCGUCUGAAAACGACGAACACCGAAAGCCUAAGGUUUCCUUGGUAAUGACAAUCAACCAAGGGUUAGGCGGACCUAAUCUCUAGACCGAAAGGUCUCGAGAGAUGGACAGCCGGUUAAUAUUCCGGCCCCCUGUCUAGUUUUUUCUUUAAAGAGACGGAGACUUGUAACUUGGGCGAAUUAUUGAAUUUUCGUCUUCAUUCCGAGGUUUUUCCAAUGGAAUGAGGGAAGUCUUGAUUCGUCAAGGUAAACCCAAGCGAGCAGUCUCCCGAGAAAAUCUUUAAAGAAGCUAAAAUUAGAUGGGUCCGUACCGUAAACCGACACAGGUAGGCAAGUAUAAAUGUACUAAGGUGAACGAGUGAAACCUUGUUAAGGAACUAGGCAAAAAAGUGGUCGUAACUUCGGGAUAAGACCUUCCGCCACAUAGGCGGACGCAGCUAAAGUACCCCUGACGACUGUUUAUCAAAAACACAGGUCCCUGCUCAACUCGUAAGAGGAUGUAUAGGGGCUGAAACCUGACCAGUGCUGGAACGUUAACCUCAGCGGUCAUCAUCUUUUUAAGGUGAUGGCUGACAGAGCGAAGCGCCAGUGAACGUCCGCGGUAACUAUAACCGUGUUAAAGUAGCGUAAUCCCUUGCCGGGUAAGUUCCGGCCCGCAUGAAAGGUUUAACGAUUGGGGGACUGUCUCAACAAGGAGCUCGGUGAAAAUGCAAUACCGGUAAAGAUGCCGGUUACCUGCGGCUAGACGGAAAGACCCCGGGAGCUUUACUGUAGAGUGGUAUUGAGUUUUGGAUUUAGAUGCGUAGCGUAGCGGGUAGGCUUUGAAAUCUUGUUUUCGGACAGGAUGGAGCCGCCAAUGAAACACCCGUCUUUUACAUUCUCAAUUCUAAUUCUGACUAACGUCGGGAAACAGUGCUACUUGGUCAGUUUAAGUGGGGCGCUUGCCUCCUAAAGAGUAGCGGAGGCGUUUAUAAGGUCGGCUAGCUCCGGAUGGAAAUCGGAGUGAUCGGGCAAAGCCAUAAGCCGGCUUGACUGCAAGGCGGAUAUGCCGCGCAGGCAGGAAACUGGAACUUAGUGAACCGACUCUGGUUCUUAGAAUCGGAGAAGAUCAUCAGCCAAAAGUUACCCCGGGGAUAACAGGCUAGUAGGGCCCGCGAGUUCACAUCAACGGCCCUGUUCGGCACCUCAAAUAGAUAUAUCGGGGUGCUAUGACAGUAAUGUCAUACAAUAAAUCUGGCUUAUAACGGUGAAAUCCACUAGCCAUGGACAAUACCGUGGGAAGUUCUCGCUUUUUAAAGUGAGUAACCCCGUAGAGACUUGAUUAUUUAAAAAAUCAGAGUUCUCUUUUUAAAGAGAGCUAAUACGCCAGCUCCCGACAUAAUAUCGGGAUGAAGAUAUAGUCCGAUCCUCUUCGCAAGAAGAGAAAAAUACCGACAGCGAUGUCGGCUCAUCACAGCGCGGGGGUGAAGAAGCUCCCAAGCGUUUGGCUGUUCGCCAAUUAAAGUGGUACGUGAGCUGGGUUCAGACCGUCGUGAGACAGGUCGGUCCCUAUCUACCGUAGGCGUCGAGUUUUGAAGGGAGUCGUCCGUAGUACGAGAGGAUCCGGAUGAACCAACCUCUGGUGUACCAGCUGUCCUGUCAAGGGCACUGCUGGGUAGCUAUGUUGGGAAGGGAUAAGUGCUGAAAGCAUCUAAGCACGAAGCCCACCCUAAGAUUAGAACUCAUAGGCCGGUCGGAGACCACGACCUUGAUAGGGCACAGGUGUAAGUGCAGCAAUGCAUUAAGCCAAGUGCUACUAAUCGGCCAUAC
rnacentral:rRNA from 1 species